UACGGAGGAUCCAAGCGUUAUCCGGAAUCACUGGGCUUAAAGCGUGUGUAGGCGGGCCUGUAAGUGUCUUGUGAAAUCCCACGGCUCAACCGUGGAACUGCUGGGCAUACUGCGGGUCUUGGGCCAACUAGGGGCAGCCGGAACAAGCGGUGGAGCGGUGAAAUGCGUAGAUAUCGCUUGGAACGCCGAAGGUGAAAACAGGCUGCUGGGGUUGCGCCGACGCUGAGACACGAAAGCCAGGGGAGCAAACGGG
rnacentral:rRNA from 1 species